rnacentral:rRNA from 1 species
AACUUGACCUCAAAUCAGGUAGGACUACCCGCUGAACUUAAGCAUAUCAAUAAGGCGGAGGAA